rnacentral:rRNA from 1 species
UACGUAGGGGGCUAGCGUUGUCCGGAUUUAUUGGGCGUAAAGAGCGUGUAGGCGGCCUGGUAGGUCUGCUGUGAAAGCUCGGGGCUCAACCCCGGGUCGGCCGUGCGAACUACUGGGCUGGAGCACUGUAGAGGCAGGCGGAAUUCCGGGUGUAGCGGUGGAAUGCGCAGAUAUCAGGAGGAACACCGGUGGCGAAGGCGGGUCUCUGGGCCGGAACUGACGCUAAGGAGCGAAAGCGUGGGGAGCGAACAGG